rnacentral:rRNA from 1 species
AUUGAACGCUGGCGGCAGGCCUAACACAUGCAAGUCGAGCGGAUGAAGGGAGCUUGCUCCUGGAUUCAGCGGCGGACGGGUGUGUAAUGCCUAGGAAUCUGCCUGGUAGUGGGGGAUAACGUCCGGAAACGGGCGCUAAUACCGCAUACGUCCUGAGGGAGAAAGUGGGGGAUCUUCGGACCUCUCGCUAUCAGAUGAGCCUAGGUCGGAUUAGCUAGUUGGUGGGGUAAAGGCCUACCAAGGCGACGAUCCGUAACUGGUGUGAGAGGAUGAUCAGUCACACUGGAACUGAGACACGGUCCAGACUCCUACGGGAGGCAGCAGUGGGGAAUAUUGGACAAUGGGCGAAAGCCUGAUCCAGCAAUGCCGCGUGUGUGAAGAAGGUCUUCGGAUUGUAAAGCACUUUAAGUUGGGAGGAAGGGCAGUAAGUUAAUACCUUGCUGUUUUGACGUUACCAACAGAAUAAGCACCGGCUAACUUCGUG